AUGCAGGCUCGCUUCGUCGCCGCCGGCUUCGGCCGGGGGAGGAAAGUCCGGGCAACGCAGAGCAUCGCACAGGUUAACGGCCUGAUGUCCGUGAGGGCAUGGCAAGCGUAACAGAGAAUAACCGCCCGCAAGGGUAAGGGUGAAAAGGCGGGGUAAGAGCCCACCGCGGCGGCAGCAAUGUCGACCGGCAGUACGUCCUGCGAGUUGCAAGACCAUGUAUACCGGCAGUCAAGGGUUGCUCGCCCGAUGCCGGGGGGUAGGUUGCUUCAUGCGGCGGGAGCCCGUCGUGGUAGAUAAAUGA
rnacentral:RNase_P_RNA from 1 species